rnacentral:rRNA from 1 species
UACGUAGGGUGCGAGCGUUUGUCCGGAAUUACUGGGCGUAAAGAGCUUGUAGGUGGUUUGUCGCGUUGUUCGUGAAAACUCACAGCUUAACUGUGGGCGUGCGGGCGAUACGGGCAGACUUGAGUACUGCAGGGGAGACUGGAAUUCCUGGUGUAGCGGUGGAAUGCGCAGAUAUCAGGAGGAACACCGGUGGCGAAGGCGGGUCUCUGGGCAGUAACUGACGCUGGAGGAGCGGAAAAGCGUGGGGGAGCGAACAGG